rnacentral:rRNA from 1 species
UACGGAGGGGGCUAGCGUUGUUCGGAAUUACUGGGCGUAAAGCGCACGUAGCGGCUUUGUAAGUUAGAGGUGAAAGCCCGGGGCUCAACCCCGGAAUUGCCUUUAAGACUGCAUCGCUAGAAUUGUGGAGAGGUAAGUGGAAUUCCGAGUGUAGAGGUGAAAUUCGUAGAUAUUCGGAAGAACACCAGUGGCGAAGGCGACUUACUGGACACAUAUUGACGCUGAGGUGCGAAAGCGUGGGGAGCAAACAGG